rnacentral:rRNA from 1 species
GACGAACGCUGGCGGCGUGCUUAACACAUGCAAGUCGAACGAGAAUUGAUCUUUAGUUUACUAGAGAUCAAGGAAAGUGGCGAACGGGUGAGUAACGCGUAGGUAACCAACCUUACACAGGGGGAUAGCCCCGGGAAACUGGGAGUAAUACCGCAUAAGACCACAGCAUCGCAUGGUGCAGUGGUAAAAACCAACGGUGGUGUAAGACGGACCUGCGUCCCAUUAGUUAGUUGGUGAGGUAACGGCUCACCAAGACCGCGAUGGGUAGCCGACCUGAGAGGGUGAUCGG